AGCAGUUGCUACUAGUACAACUCGAUCGUGAUAAAUGUGGGCAUGUUUUUCCUGGAUUUACUUGCUUCAAUGUCUGCCUUGUUUCUAUGAUUUAUAUUACUGUGGGAAUGUGGACUAGUUUAUGUUUUAUGUAGAUCGCGGACUUGUCCGAUUAUGCAAAUUAGUUCGCUACGCGUGUUGCACAUGAUUUUGCGGAUGAAUGAUUUAUUGUGUGAUACGCCGCCCAUGUUAAUGUGUUAACAUACAUGUUAGUAUUGAAUCACAUUCAUGUCACGUUCAAUUGCGGAGAGGACGUUGCUGUGCCUGUAGCUGUGUAUUACAGAGUCACGCAGUUUCCUUGUUUUAGCGAGGGUUUUGGUUCAACUGUUUGGCAGUAUUUUCGAGGGCAAGAUCAGAUGACUUGCAUGUUGCAGUUUCUGUUGCUGAGCUGAGCUGAGUUGAAUGCUGGUAGCUUCUUGGUGUCUCCCUUUUCCCCUUCACUUCCUUUUCCACUGUAGUUGAGAGCUUCAGUGGUUUAUUGCUGAAGACUUUGGGGUUUUUUCCCGUUUUUGCGUGCAUGAAUCACCGAGAAUCAACGGUUUGUGAAUUAAAGCACCGGUUACGCUAA